UUACCAUCAUUCAGGUUUGGGGACUCUUAGAGAGACUGCCGGUGAUAACCGGAGGAAGGUGGGAUGACGUCAAAUCAUCAUGCCCCUUAUGGCCUGGGCUACACACGUGCUACAAUGGUUGGUACAACGAGUUGCGAGUCGGUGACGGCGAGCUAAUCUCUUAAAGCCAAUCUCAGUUCGGAUUGUAGGCUGCAACUCGCCUACAUGAAGUCGGAAUCGCUAGUAAUCGCGGAUCAGCACGCCGCGGUGAAUACGUUCCCGGGCCUU
rnacentral:rRNA from 1 species